rnacentral:tRNA from 1 species
GUUGUUGUAGUAUAGUGGUGAGUAUCCCUGCCUGUCACGCGGGAGACCCGGGUUCGAUCCAUGGCAACAGCG